GACGAACGCUGGCGGCGUGCUUAACACAUGCAAGUCGAACGGAAAGGCCCUGCUUUUGUGGGGUGCUCGAGUGGCGAACGGGUGAGUAACACGUGAGUAACCUGCCCUUGACUUUGGGAGAACUUCAGGAAACUGGGGCUAAUACCGGAUAGGAUCUCCUGCUGCAUGGUGGGGGGUGGAAAUUUUCGGCGGUUGGGGAUGGACUCGCGGCUUAUCAGCUUGUUGGUGGGGGAGUGGCUUACCAAGGCUUUGACGGGUAGCCGGCCUGAGAGGGUGACCGGCGACCUUGGGACUGCGAUACGGCCCAGACUCCUACGGGAGGCAGCGGUGGCGAAUCUUGCACAAUGAGCGGACGCCUGAUGCAGAGACGCCGCGUGUGGGAUGACGGCCUUCGGGUUGUGAACCGCUUUCGCCUGUGACGAAGCGUGAGUGACGGUAAUGGGUAAAGAAGCACCGGCUAACUACGUG
rnacentral:rRNA from 1 species